rnacentral:rRNA from 1 species
GACGAAGGGGGCUAGCGUUGUUCGGAAUUACUGGGCGUAAAGCGCACGUAGGCGGCCUUUCAAGUCAGAUGUGAAAGCCCCGGGCUUAACCCGGGAACCGCAUUUGAUACUGUUGGGCUUGAGACCGGGAGAGGAUAGCGGAAUUCCCAGUGUAGAGGUGAAAUUCGUAGAUAUUGGGAAGAACACCAGUGGCGAAGGCGGCUAUCUGGACCGGUACUGACGCUGAGGUGCGAAAGCGUGGGGAGCAAACAGG